rnacentral:rRNA from 1 species
UAUUGCUCUUUAACGAGGAAUCCCUAGUAAGCACAAGUCAUCAGCUUGUGCUGAUUACGUCCCUGCCCUUUGUACACACCGCCCGUCGCUACUACCGAUUGAAUGGCUUAGUGAGGCCCUCGGAUUGAGUUCGAAGACUGGAAACAGACUUUGUUUUUAAGAAGUUGGUCAAACUUGGUCAUUUAGAGGAGGUAAAAGUCGUAACAAGGUUUCCGUAGGUGAACCUGCGGAAGGAUCAUU